rnacentral:tRNA from 1 species
GGUGGCUCAGUGGUAGAGUGCUUGCCUAGCAUGCAUGAGUACUGGGUUCGAUUCCUCAGCACCA